UACAGAGGGCGCGAGCGUUGUCCGGAAUCACUGGGCGUAAAGGGCGCGUAGGUGGCCACUAUAAGGCCGCGGUGAAAGUUCGGGGCUCAACCCUGAAUCGGCCGCGGCGACUGUAGGGCUUGGGCACUGUAGAGGCAGAUGGAAUUCCGGGUGUAGCGGUGGAAUGCGUAGAGAUCCGGAAGAACACCGGUGGCGAAGGCGGUUCUCUGGGCAUUACCUGACGCUGAGGAGCGAAAGUGUGGGGAGCGAACAGG
rnacentral:rRNA from 1 species